GACGAACGCUGGCGGCGUGCUUAACACAUGCAAGUCGAACGAAGUGGCGAACGGGUGAGUAAUACGUGAGUAACCUGCCCUCCUUUGUGGGAUAAGCCUUGGAAACGGGGGCUAAUACCGGAAAAAGGGGGAUGGGCUCGCGGCCUAUGAGCUUGUUGGUGGGGUGAUGGCCUACCAAGGCGGUGACGGGUAGCCGGCCUGAGAGGGUGACCAGCCACAUUGGGACUGAGAUACGGCCCAGACGCCUACGGGAGGCAGCAGUGGGGAAUAUUGCACAAUGGGCGAAAGCCUGAUGCAGCCAUGCCGCGUGUAUGAAGAAGGCCUUCGGGUUGUAAAGUACUUUCAGUCGGGCGGCGUUACCGGCAGAAGAAGCACCGGCUAACUCCGUGCCAGCAGCCGCGGUAAUAC
rnacentral:rRNA from 1 species